rnacentral:rRNA from 1 species
UACGGGGGGAGCAAGCGUUGUUCGGAUUUACUGGGCGUAAAGGGCGCGUAGGCGGCCACGUCAGGUCACUUGUGAAAUCUCCGGGCUUAACUCGGAACGGUCAAGUGAUACUGUCGGGCUAGAGUGCGGAAGGGGCAACUGGAAUUCUCGGUGUAGCGGUGAAAUGCGUAGAUAUCGAGAGGAACACCUGCGGCGAAGGCGGGUUGCUGGGCCGACACUGACGCUGAGGCGCGAAAGCUAGGGGAGCGAACGGG